rnacentral:rRNA from 1 species
UACGAGGGGGGCAAGCGUUGUUCGGAUUUAUUGGGCGUAAAGGGUUCGUAGGCGGUUUGGCAAGUCUUAUGUGAAAUCUUCGGGCUCAACCCGGAGCCUGCAUAAGAAACUGCCGGGCUUGAGUAUGGGAGAGGUGAGUGGAAUUUCCGGUGUAGCGGUGAAAUGCGUAGAUAUCGGAAGGAACACCUGUGGCGAAAGCGGCUCACUGGACCAUAACUGACGCUGAGGCACGAAAGCUAGGGGAGCAAACAGG